rnacentral:lncRNA from 1 species
GUGGUGUCCACAGACUCAAGAAAAUACUGGUCGUCCUUCUGAAGAACUGAAGUGGGGUGAUUCGUGAGUUUAAAGAAGAGCUAUUGUGUGUAUUUCUUUGUUAUUUAUGGCCAUGGUUUACGUUAAUUUUGGUGUUUGGUAAUUGUGAAGACAAGAUGCCCAUAAGUUUUUAGUGUGUUGUAUAGACUUUGGGGCUUUGUGGCUUGAUUGUGUAACUUUUUUUUAGCUAUUAUGACUUUGUCACUUUGCUUUGGCUAUAUUUAAGAAGAAAAGAAUAUAUUUGAGUUGCUAAAUGGUGCUUGUGGGAAAUCACUUGCUUCUUUCCCUCAAGGUUGUUUUUGCUUUUGCUUUAGGUUCAAGACUUUUAGGACACUGCAGCGAUUUGAAUGGUUGUCUGUGUUGCAGGCUAUUUUUACUCAAUUGCGUUAGGUGGGCUUAGGAGCUUUGAGUACCCUAAGAAUAAGAUCACUGCCAUUCCUGNNNNNNNNNNNNNNNNNNNNNNNNNNNNNNNNNNNGAGUACCCUAAGAAUAAGAUCACUGCCAUUCCUGCUUAAGAAGAAGAAAUUUGGGGAGCCACAUUCAAGCUGAUUGAUUGAUUCUUUAGUUUCAUUUUUUCAGCAACAUUUUGAAGACUCAUAACACAAACAAUGGUGGUUGAAACAGGUGGAAGGAGCAGCGGUUCUUGUAGAUUGACAAUGAGAAAGAAUCAAAAUCAAUCUCUCUUAAUCUUGAAACUCUAACAGUAAGAAAGAAAUC